rnacentral:rRNA from 1 species
CCUACGGGAGGCAGCAGUGAGGAAUAUUGGUCAAUGGGCGCGAGCCUGAACCAGCCAAGUAGCGUGAAGGAUGACUGCCCUACGGGUUGUAAACUUCUUUUAUAAAGGAAUAAAGUGAGGCACGUGUGCCUUUUUGUAUGUACUUUAUGAAUAAGGAUCGGCUAACUCCGUGCCAGCAGCCGCGGUAAUACGGAGGAUCCGAGCGUUAUCCGGAUUUAUUGAGUUUAAAGGGAGCGUAGAUGGGUUGUUAAGUCAGGUGUGAAAGUUUGCGGCUCAACCGUAAAAUUGCAAUUGAUACUGGGAGUCUUGAGGACAGUUGGGGUAGGGGGAAUUCGGGGUGUAGCGGUGAAAUGGUUA